AUCCCUCCAUUAGAACUGUAGCUCCUUUGUCUCCAGGCUCUGUGAAAUGCAAACGGCCUCAAAAAGGGUGUUCUGAUGUUACAUCAACACUCUGAGCGGCUUAGGGCUGACACUCUUGGGAGGAGGGUUGCUGGAGCCCUUUCUCAGGGUUGAAGGGUUGAGUUUCUGAAAAAAACACUCAGAAAAAGGCAGCCAUGUCUCCAUGCCCGCAUGUGUGCCUGUACUCAGGAGCUCUGGGGACACGCCCUUUGCCUUCUCUCUGGCUGUGUCCUCUCCUCAUCCCUUCUGUCCCUCCUCACUCUGUGCCUCUGGCCCAGGUGGGAUUGGAUAAUCUGUCUAGGCUGAGUUUCUCUUUCCUUACCUGAAACUCAUCAGGAGACUGUUUCCAGAAAGGAGGUGGUGGGCACGGCUUUCACAGCCCAGGAAUUCACUGCCCACCCAAGCACUCCCCUCGGGAACGAUUCCUCAGCCACAGUCACGGAGGUUUACUCUCUCAGGAACAGUCUCUGAGAUGACUCUCUGUCUCCCGCAGGUCACAGAGCAGGCUCCUGUGGUGCGGUGGCUUUAUCAAAGCAGGAGUCUAUUAUCCACUUGGGGGGUGGAAACAACAGACCUGUCCCUUCCCAGACACAGAGCUCGAUGGGCUAUGCAGCACUGGGCAAGGUCUCUCCCCAGCCGAGCUGGUUCUGUUCUGUAUACCGUGAGGGAUUUGGCCCCAGGAUCUCCAUGGUGCUUCCAGCACUGCGUUCCUUGGGUUUGACUCCAUGGUUUCCCUCUGUCCCUCUCCAUUCUCUUUGUUGAUUCUCUUCCUCCUCAUUUUCUUCUUCAGUCUCAACCCCCUUCUCGAGCCCUCCUUCCCUAAUGAAGGCUGACUCAGUCCUGGGAAUGUGAUGCUCUGGGUUGGAGCACUGAGAGACCCUGGCCAGGUGUCAGAAGGCAGUGAGAAAAAUACCUUUGGAGAAAAGAAUGUGGCCAGGCGAGGUGGCUCUCGCCUGUAAUCCCAGCACUUUGAGAGGCCGAGUGGGCAGAUCACAAGGUCAGGAGUUCGAGACCAGCGGAGGAGUUUGGAUGGGAGUCCGGAGGGGUCUGUGCUAUUGAGAAAGGAUUCGAGGUGAUGCAGUGAGGGGCACAUACCCGGACCUACAAAUGAGCUCCAUGAGGUGGACUCCUUCUCCAAUGCCAGCAUCAAGGUCAGCUACCAACUUGAGACCCCUGAGAGACAGAGGGACCAUCCCCAGCCCAUCCUCGACCACUACGCUGAAGCCUUUGCCAUCUUCCCGGUGACUCUACCCUCAGCCAGUACCAACCCUCUUGAGAGCCGAUCCCACAGAAAGCAUCUGCUCCCCUGACUUCCAAGAAUGUUAGAACUGGGAGGGAGUGUCUUCAGACAGCAUUUGGGUGACUCACUGUACAAAUGUGAAACUGGGUCACUGUGAUCGUGUUAAUGUGUGUAGGGCAUCACUCAUGGGUAACACAGGUCUCCAUCUGUCUCUGGGGCCAUGACUUUAUGUUCACAAAAGUGCUUGCUGCGUAUUUCAUGACGCACAGGCAUAUGUUGCAUCCUGGGGCCUCACUUGGCAGGGAGCUCUGAUGAUGCUGUGGUGGGGGUCCCUUGUGAGAGCUAGAUGGGAGCUAGCCUGUCUUGUGCUGCAGAGGAUGCCCUUUGGUGCCCUGCCUGUUCACUCCCUGCCAGGGCCUUCAGGCUGAAUGGCCCCACCAAACCUGUGCCCCUGCCUCUCCUGCUGGUGCCCAUCAGUGCAGCUCAGACAGGCGGGUAGUGUCAUAAAAAACUUUUGUCGGCCAGGAGCCCUGGCUGAUGCCUGUAAUCCCAGCACUUUGGGAGGCUGAGGUGGGCGGAUCACCUGAGGCCAGUAGUUCAAGACCAGCCUGGCCAACAUGGCGAAACCCCAACUCUACUAAAAAUACAAAGAUUAGCCAGGUGUGGUGGCAGGAGCCUAUAGUCCCAGGUACUCAGGAGGCUGAGGCAGGAGAAUUGCUUGAACCUGGGAGGCGGAGGUUACAGUGAACCAAGAUUGUACCACUGCACUCCAGCCUGGGCGACAGAGCAAGCUCAAUCUCUCAAAAACAAACAAACAAACAAACUUCAAUAUAUAUUUCCUUAUAAAACAGAGGCAUUGUCUUUAAUCAAAAUCAGGAAAUUCACAUUGAUAAAAUACCAUUAUUUAAUCUACAAACUUUAUUCAAAUUUUGCCUGUUGUCCUAUUAAUGCCCUUUAUAGCAAAAGAAAAAUUCUGGUCCAGGAUCAUCAAUCGUGUUCUGCUGUCAUUUAUCUCCUUUAAUCCGGAAAAGUUUCUCAUCUUUCCUUGUCUUUUGAUGACAUUCAUGUUUUUGAAGGGUGUAGGCCAGUCCUUUUAUAGAAUGUUCCUCAAUUUGUCUGAUGUUUCGUCAUAGAGUCAGGUUACCCAUUUUGUUUUGUUUUGUUUUUGAGACAGAGUUUCACUUUUGCUGCCCAGGCUGGAGUGCAAUGGUGCAAUGUCAGCUCAUUACAACCUCCAGCUCCCGGGUUCAAGCGAUUCUCCUGCCUCAGCCUCCAGAGUAGCUGGAAUGACAGGUGUGUGUCACCAUACCCGGCUAAUUUUUUGUAUUUUUAGUAGAGACAGGGUUUCACCAUGUUGGCCAGGCUGGUCUUGAACUCCUGACCUCAGGCGAUCCACCUGCCUUGGCUGGGAUGACAGGCAUGAGCCUGGCCAGGUUCUGCAUUUUUGGCAGGAAUAUCACAGAAGUAAAGUUGUGUCCUUCUCAGUACACCAUCUCAGGCGGCACCUCAUGGAUUUGUCCCAUUCCUAGUGUGAUUUGCCUGUGUAAUUAAUCAUCUCAAGGUGAGAUGCCUUAAGAUGAUAUGCUGCUUAACAUCUAUUUAUGUCUUUCCUUAACCAGUGAUGACUAUUAUGCUACGGCAGAGAGUUUAAAAAAUUUAUUCAGUCUGUGAAAUGGGUGAGGAGAACUUACGUGGUGUUAGGCACAUCGCUGUUACCAGAGAAUGUGUCCCCAGCUGGGCGUCUAGCUGGCUUAACCCCAUUGUCUUUCACUGGGGCUGGGUGGAAAAGAUCAGGCUACUUGUCUACAUUAAAAAUACAACAAAAAAGCCCUGCAUGAAACUGUUGGCCCACUUAGAGCUCCAGGCUUUGACUUCUGCAAAUGCCGCCUCCCUUCCCCAGGAAGUAGAAAGUCUCCUUUCAAGCUCUGGGCUCUUAUUGCCACCCUAGGCCGUGGUAACAGACCUGCAGAAAGCUCCGGAGGUGGCCGCUGGGAGAGAAACGCAGAGGCCCUCCAGCAGAGGAGCUGCCUUUCUUCAUAAUCAAAAAACAGACCCAGCUACUUUAGAAAACUGGAAUUUUUUAAAACAUGAAAAGGGGCUUUUCAACCUCCAUGGGGCCUUUUUAAAUGUGGCUUUCGGAAUGAGUUGGUUAUGUGGAGGCAAGAUGGCAAGGGAAAUGGCUUACAGAGACAGCUAGCCAAGUUGGGGGCAGUGGCUCACGCCUGUAACUCCAGCACUUUGGGAGGCCAAGGUGGGUGGAUCACUUGAGGUCAGGAGUUUGAGACCAACUUGGCCAACAUGGUGAAACCCAGUUUCCACUAAAAAGACAAAAAGAAUUGGCUGGGUGUGGUGGUGGGUGCCUGUUAUUUCAGCUAGUCAGGAGACUGUGUCAGGAGAAUCGCUUGAACCCAGGAGGCAGAGGUCGUGGUGAGCCGAGAUCGUGCCACUGCACUCCAGCCUGGCAACAGAGCAAGACUCCGUCUCAAACACACACACACACACACACACACACACCCCAGAGAUGACUAGCCACACGGAAGAGAAACUCUGAGGCCUGGACCUUGACAAUAUUCAGUUAGGUAGCCCCCAUUCCUGCCUACACCCGAAAAGACUAAGGAAGCUUCUCUUCACAUAGCUGUCUGCUCCCUAAAUGCUGGGAGUUGUGAGCUGUGUGUGCUGCUUAAUUCCCAUGAUGUGAAUGUAAUGGGCACACCUCACAUUCCAUGCAGGUCACCCCACUUUUUACCGUGGCCAGAGGCCUGGGUCACAGUGUGCCCAUGUUAUAGGACAGAUCCAGGAAUGUCAUCGUCCCUGUUCUUCGGGCCGUGUAUGCACAACCCCAGCCUGCAUCCCUCACCUCCGGUCUCAGGCUGCCCUAUGAGAAGGACUGCAAGAAUAAGCUGUUUUGUAUCGCAGAAUUACAGUUGGCCACCACCGUCUCUCAACGUUCUAUUGGGCCACACUGAAUUCCAGAAUGAUGGUGUUGCCAAGCUCAGGAGUUUGGGUUCGGACAUCGGCGGCCCUAAAAUGCCCUCCCAGCCUGGACACAGUGGCUCACGCCUGUAAUCCCAGCACUUUAGGAGGCUGAGCCAGGCGGAUCACGAGGUCAGGAGUUCAAGACCAGCCUGAUCAACAUGGUGAAACCCUGUCUCUGUUUAAAAAAAAAAAAAAUUGAAGCCGGGUGCGGUGGCUCAUGGCUAUAAUCCCAGCACUUUGGGAGGCCGAGGUGGGUGGAUCACGAGGUCAAGAGAUCGAUACCAUCCUGGUCAACAAGGUGCAACA